rnacentral:ncRNA from 1 species
GAAAGCCGUAUGAUGGGAAACUAUCACGUACGGUUUGGGAAAGGAUUUUUUACUAAUUUCUACUAAAAAGUAUUAUUAUUUAGGUAGUUGGGUAAAUCUUCUAUUUCAC